GACGAACGCUGGCGGCGUGCUUAACACAUGCAAGUCGAGCGGAAAGGCCCUUCGGGGUACUCGAGCGGCGAACGGGUGAGUAACACGUGAGUAACCUGCCCCAGACUUUGGGAUAACCCUCGGAAACGGGGGCUAAUACCGGAUACGACACAGCUUCGCAUGGGGUCUGUGUGGAAAGUUUUUCGGUUUGGGAUGGGCUCGCGGCCUAUCAGCUUGUUGGUGGGGUGAUGGCCUACCAAGGCGACGACGGGUAGCCGGCCUGCGAGGGCGACCGGCCACACUGGGACUGAGACACGGCCCAGACUCCUACGGGAGGCAGCAGUGGGGAAUAUUGCACAAUGGGCGGAAGCCUGAUGCAGCGACGCCGCGUGAGGGAUGACGGCCUUCGGGUUGUAAACCUCUUUCAGCAGGGACGAAGCGUAAGUGACGGUACCUGCAGAAGAAGCGCCGGCCAACUACGUG
rnacentral:rRNA from 1 species